rnacentral:rRNA from 1 species
GACGAACGCUGGCGGCGUGCUUAACACAUGCAAGUCGAGCGGUAAGGCCCUCGGGUACACGAGCGGCGAACGGGUGAGUAACACGUGGGUGACCUGCCUCUAGCUCUGGGAUAAGCCUGGGAAACUGGGUCUAAUACCGGAUAUGACUCCACGGCGCAUGUUGUGGGGUGGAAAGCCUUGUGUGGCUAGAGAUGGGCCCGCGGCCUAUCAGCUUGUUGGUGGGGUGGAUGGCCUACCAAGGCGACGACGGGUAGCCGGCCUGAGAGGGCGACGGCCACACUGGGACUGAGACACGGCCCAGAC